rnacentral:rRNA from 1 species
CGAGCGUUGUCCGGAAUCAUUGGGCGUAAAGAGCUCGUAGGCGGCCGGUUGCGUCUGCUGUGAAAUCCCGGGGCUUAACCCCGGGCGUGCAGUGGAUACUGGCUGGCUGGAGGCAGGCAGGGGAGAAUGGAAUUUCCGGUGUAGCGGUGAAAUGCGCAGAUAUCGGGAGGAACACCGGUGGCGAAGGCGGUUCUCUGGGCCUGUGCUGACGCUGAGGAGCGAAAGCGUGGGGAGCGAACAGG